GAUUAACGCUAGCGGCAGGCCUAAUACAUGCAAGUCGAACGGGAUUAUUGGUAGCAAUACUGAUAUGAGAGUGGCGCACGGGUGCGUAACGCGUAUGCAACCUACCUCUGACUGGGGGAUAGCCUUCCGAAAGGAAGAUUAAUACCGCAUAAUACAAUGAAGUGGCAUCACUUUAUUGUCAAAACUCCGGUGGUUAGAGAUGGGCAUGCGUAAUAUUAGCAGUUGGUGAGGUAAUGGCUCACCAAGGCUACGAUAUUUAGGGGGUCUGAGAGAUGAUCCCCANACUGGUACUGAGACACGGACCAGACUCCGUA
rnacentral:rRNA from 1 species